rnacentral:rRNA from 1 species
AAUAUUGGACAAUGGGCGAAAGCCUGAUCCAGCCAUGCCGCGUGUGUGAAGACGGUCUUCGGUGUGUUAAGCACUUUAUGUUGGGAGGAAGUGCAGUAAGUUAUUACCUUGCUGUGUUGACGUUACCGACAGAAUAAGCACCGGCUAACUUCGUGCCAGCAGCCGCGGUAAUUCGAAUGGUGCAAGCGUUAAUCGGAAUUACUGGGUGUAAAGCGCGCGUAGGUGGUUUGAUAAGUUGGAUGUGAAAGCCCCGGGCUCAACCUGGGAAUUGCAUCCAAAACUGUCUGACUAGAGUAUGGCAGAGGGUGGUGGAAUUUCCUGUGUAGCGGUGAAAUGCGUAGAUAUAGGAAGGAAAGCCAGUGGCGAAGGCGACCACCUGGGCUAAUACUGACACUGAGGUGCGAAAGCGUGGGGAGCAAACAGG